CCCAAUCGAACCACCGCCGCUUCCUCUUCCAAGUCCAACCAAGCUCAGCCGUCACCACCGCCAGCAGCCACCGGAAAACGCAGAAAAUCGCGGGGUUUUGACAGAUUUUCUCAUCGCUCGUUCUCCCUCGAUUCUCCACCAAAUCGGACAAGUGAGGCACUCGGGCACCAGUUGACCCGCAGGAGGGACCUUCCAAGGGUCCAGCGAGCUCGGACCAACCGCUGUAGACGUGCAUCCGAGAGCCACCACAGGG